ACUGAACCUUAUCAUUUAGAGGAAGGAGAAGUCGUAACAAGGUUUCCGUAGGUGAACCUGCGGAAGGAUCAUUGUCGAAUCCUACGAUAGCGAAAUGACCUGCUAACAUGUAAAACNNNCAUCGGGUGAGCGUCNGGGGGAUUAGGUUCUCCCGACCUUGUACUUGAGGCGGGUGGCCCUNUUGGGUGCCCACUCGCCNNCACGANNAAUUGGGCGCGGAAGGCGCCAAGGAAAAUGAAAUUGAAUUAUAUGCGCGCUUCUUAAAUGCAUGAAGCGUUGUUAUUCUAAAAAUCAAAUGACUCUCGGCAACGGAUAUCCCGGCUCUCGCAUCGAUGAAGAACGUAGCGAAAUGCGAUACUUGGUGUGAAUUGCAGAAUCCCGUGAACCAUCGAGUCUUUGAACGCAAGUUGCGCCCGAGGCCNNUCGGCUAAGGGCACGUCUGCCUGGGUGUCAUGUAUCAUCUUGCCCCUUGAUUAUUCUCUCUCCGSGAGGAGGUAGNAYUACCCUGGGGGCGUAAAAUGGCCUCCCGUUNUCUUUAUGGUGCGGUUGGUGCUAAAUUGAGACUCUUAGCGACGUAUGUCACGGCAUCGGUGGUUGUGAAAAGACCGUCUUAUCUUGUCGGGCCAAAUAUUAGUCACCUAAGAGAGAUCACGGACCCUAAGUUGUCAUGCAAUGUGCGUGUGCUUCGAUUGUGACCCCAGGUCAGGCGGGACUACCCGCUGAGUUUAAGCAUAUCAU
rnacentral:rRNA from 1 species